GCCCGGGUGGCGGAACUGGUAUACGCGCACGACUUAAAAUCGUGUUCCGAAAGGGGUGCGGGUUCGAUUCCCGCCCCGGGCACAA
rnacentral:tRNA from 1 species